rnacentral:lncRNA from 1 species
CAAUAUAAAAUUUAGAAUUUUUUAUUUUGUAAUUGUAUUUUCAAGUAUUAUUUAUGAUUCUACUUUUUAAUGAAAUUUUAUUUGCUAUUGGUAGGAAAAUAGUAUUAUACAUAAGCUUUUGUUGUUAAAUUAAAUAGUCACCUUCCUCUGGAAUCCACAGCUAAAAAAAGCAGAACUUGUUUUAGACGAUGUCGUUUGAUUAUUCUUCUUCUGAGAUGGUGGUGGAUAACUUUAUGCAAAGUAAGAUAUAAAGAAAAAAUGUAAGAGCAUAAAAUAGUGGCCGUGAAGAUACACGCCGACAUCCAAUUGUGUGAAAUGAAAUGAAAUGAAAUGCCAUUUCUGGAUCUUUCUUCUUAGUUCUCUCCCUUCUUUCUUCUACACACAUAUACAUAUAUAUACACAUACAUACAUCAAACUCUCGUCUUCCAACCCUAGAACAAUUGUUUUAUUCUAUCUGGUUUCUGCAAAGGGUCUUAACUUGCUGAGAUGAGUGAGAUCAAAUAUGGCUAUCCGUAUCCAGCUCAAGGUAUAGUUUAUAUUCACGCAUUCAAUAUAUAUAUAUAGAGAGAGAGAGUUCAAUUUACAGAGAUGAAGUUAUUAUGAUGAACUGUUCUUACAUUGAAUUUGAUGCAUCCUCUUUCUUGGUAUGGUAAUAAAAGAAAGUUGUUGUUUAGUUGCCAGUUGAGAAUUUUUUGUCGAGUGCAUAUGUCAUGGCCUGAACUUCAAACAUUUUUCAAUUUGUAUUUUUCUCAAUUAUUGCUGAACAGUUAUUGUUCUUAUGUCCCUCACAGGUCCUUAUCAGGGGCCACCUCCGGUGGCGGCACCUCCACAGUACUAUGCUGCUCCACCGCCCAGAAGAGAACCCGGUUUCCUUGAGGGGUGGUAAGCUAUUUACACUCUCUUCUAUUAAGCAACAAGUACCAUUAAAUCUUACUUUUAAUGUUUUUUUCUCUCCAAAUUUUAGUUUAUAUUUAAAUAUAUUUUAAAAAAAAUAAAUUAUAAAAUAUUUUGUCUUUAUACUUUAUAAAAUUGAUGUAAAAAUAAACAGUAGUUUUCAUAUGAAAAUGGAAAUCCACAAUAAAAUAUACUGUAAUCAAUAAAUAUUUACUCUUAUUUAAAACAAAGUUAACAUAAUAGCAAUUGUAAUUUUAGGAUUAAAUAUGUUAUUUUUCUAAAGUAUUGUAAAAGAUUAUUCCUAAACUAAAUUAUAAAGUAUUUAGUUAUUCUGUUAUAUGAUGUAAAAAAAAUUCUAAUCACAUUUUAUUUAAAUUUAAUUCAAUUUUAUAAAAUUAAUUCAUAAAAAAAAAUUACCAUAUAUAUUAAAUUGAAUUCAUUUUUAAUAUAUAUGCAUGCUUCAUGUAUGACAUUAAACACUUAAAUGUUAUUCGGUAAUAUUAAAUCCAUUAUAUUAUUUAUCAAGAACCUGUAUCAUAAUAAAACAAUUUGUUUUCGUAAUUAAAACUUAUCUUUUACUAAUUUAAUUCUAAAAGUAUAAAAUUUAUAGUUUAAAGGAUAGAAUUGUUCUCCUAAAUCUAGAAAGGUAACUAAAAGAAAAUUGUACCAAAAUUAUUUUAUUUACAGUUAGCAUAGAUCUUAUUUUGUUGUUGAAGUGUUUUAUUUUAUGGUGUAUGCAGCCUAGCGGCUCUCUGUUGCUGUUGCCUCUUGGACGAGUGUUGCUGUGACCCAACUAUUAUUUUCGCUAGUUAAUGUCUAUGCUGUCAUUCUAAUAUAUAUAUAUAUAUAUAUAUAUAUAUAUAUAUAUAUAUAUAUAUAUAUAUAUGUAUAAACCACUUGUUGCAAUGAUAUUUUCAUAUAAGAGUUUAUAUUGUUUAGUGGAUCCCAUCAAAUUAUUAUGUACGAACGAGGAGUUAAUCAAUAUAUUUCUUUUGCUGCUCU